GCACCUGCGGUAAUUCCAGCUCCAAUAGCGUAUAUUAAAGUUGUUGCAGUUAAAAAGCUCGUAGUUGGAUUUCUGCGAGGGUGCCAAUGUCCGCCGACGCGCGUGCGCAGCGGCGCCCUCGCAUCCUUCUGUUACCACCUCUCGGCAUUCACUUGCCGGUGGUCGGCUCAGAGAAUUUACCUUGAGAAAAUUAGAGUGUUUCAGGCAGGCUAGGCCGGAAUACAUUAGCAUGGAAUAAUGGAAUAGGACUACGGUCUCGUUGUUGGUUUGAGGGACUGCAGUAAUGAUUAAUAGGGAUAGUUGGGGGCAUUAGUAUUUAAUUGUCAGAGGUGAAAUUCUCAGAUUUGUUAAAGACUAACUUAUGCGAAAGCAUUUGCCAAGGAUGUUUUCAUUGAUCAAGAACGAAAGU
rnacentral:rRNA from 1 species